UGGUGGUGAGAGUGGAAGAGCCCUGUUGUAAAGUAGUGGUCAGUUAUGUUCCCCGGUGCACCCAGGGAUGCUGCUAGCCCAGAUGGAAACCAGAGAGAAAGAGGGAGAGAGAGGGAGAAUCGCCACAUCUUUUCCUCUUAGCAGAUGGAAACCUACACCAGGAUGGGCUGGACUCGAACUCCUUCUAACCAUCUGUCAGUGAUUUAUUUGCACCCCACAGCCUGGUGGCUGGAAUGGCAGUGAUUCAUCAUUUCUGGCCGGUCAUCUGCCGCUCCUCGGGUGGCAGCCCACUCGCAAGGUCUUGCUGGUGGAGGAAGCCGUGGGUGGACCACGGUCCCUGCUGCCCAUGGUUUCCUGGGCUCCAGGUACAGGACAGUCCGACAAGGUCCUACGGUGCAGAGGUCACUGAGGCAGAAUUAGAACAUGGGUUUGCCACUGUCAGCAGCACGGUUGUCACUGAAACUUCUCGUUAUCAUUUACGCUGGGCCGGACCCAGGCCAAGACUAAGCUCUCUGCGAAUCGUUUAAUUAACCCUCACAAUUUCUCCAAGUGCAAGUGCAGUUGCUGUGCUUUUUGACAGAUACAGGAACUGAAGCUCACGGAGGUUAAAUAGCUUUAGCAAGGCAGCACAAGAACCAUCCCGGAGCCCGAAUGUAAGGCGCACUCCCAGGCUCAACCCACCGGAAGUUCCUUCGCCUCAACACUGUCCCCAGAUGUGGUGUCACUUGAGCUGCCGCCCCACGUGAUCCCCUCCUUUGUUGAGCCAUAAGCGUGAGUGUCAGUCACAGGGUCCCAAAGGCCGCACCCGGUGGGGUGCUGAGGGCUGGGGUGACAGAGCGGAGGGGCGGGAACGGGAACGGGGCGCUGUUGAAAUUGAAGCUAACUUCACAGCGCUGGGGAUCCUGCCUCCUGGAAGCGGCAGGGAGCAGGGAGCGGACCGCAGAGGUCGGAUGAAGGAGACAUGGGCGAGACGCAGACCAGCGAAGCGUCCUCUGCAGUUUCUCGUCAAUAAUUGCUAAAAACAGAUCCAGACACCCCACGCCUGCCUCGGCAGCCGGUGAGUCAAGAGCGCCUUUCUUUGAUCACGAAGUGAAAGCCCAGAGAAACGAUGUGGGAAGCUGCCAAGUGGACGCGACCCUUUCCCAAGCGCUGUCCGUGCAUCCAGACAAGAAAGAAGCGAGCUCUGCCAGCUCCGUGUGUUCCGGACUUCGUGAUUUCUGCAGGCUCCAUGCCCUGGAACUGAACCUCUUGCCGUAGCCCAUGUGUCACCAGCUCCAAGACACAAACCUGGCGGAGGAGCCUGGGCAGCAGGAGCAGAUAGGGGGAAAGGCACCCAGAGGGGAGCAUUCCCUUCCAGGUCACACCCCCGGAGCCACCGCCAGCUCCCCGCCUGCACACAGACAGCGUGUCCGCACCAGCUCCACCACGACCCAGGCUCCUUCCAAAAGCCCGCUGCCAACACACCAGCCCGGGGCCGUCCAGAGUGCAGGCGUCAGCACGCACGUUCCAGACCAGUGGUGGCGAGCCCAUGGCAUGCAUGUCAUUUGUUUGCCUUUUGAGAUGGAAGAUGCUAAUGUAUGAGUUGCUUUUUCUAAACUAAAACCUCGGUAUUCAGGUUUAAUGGAAGUGUUGGUUCUUUGAGAUAUAAGUGGGUUCGGGGUUGCAGUUUGGGGGCUCGUCUCUGAAAGCUUUGCUGUCACUGUCUAGACCUGGACCACCACAUGUGCGCGUGUCACGUCCUACACAGGCGUCUUGCACCGUGUUGGAGCUGCCAGGAGUCUUCUCAUGAGCUCCUCCCUGAGCCAAUGAACCUAACAUGAACCAGGCUAAUUCCUUUUGUCCCUGGCCCUUUGUAAAUUUUCACUAUAUGGAAGGGAGGAAAAAGGAGGGAAGGGAGAGAGAGAAAAAAAGAAACAAGAAAGGGAGAAGAGAGAAGAAGUCUCUAUUUAAAAAAAUCUAAAUGCUUGUAAAGUCACCAAGAUUUUACGCGUCCAACUCAGAUGAAGAAAUGUCAGCUGCCGUCAUAGCUAGCACAAUCUGCUUUAGGCUGGGUUACUAUAAAGACUCCUAGCCUGACCCUCUCUUCUCUGGAACCAGCCCAUGCCUCUAGCACUUUCCUCAGAACUUUCACAACUGUUUUGUUCUGAUCUGCACCAAUUUUGAUCUAUUUUCUGAAAGGUGUGGGUAUUUGAUAUCGGAUCCCUGUGUUUUCAGUGCCUUAUCCAAUGCUUUCCCCAGCUGAGGAGACAGCUACAUAGUUAAGAAACUACACAAACUCUUUCUUAAUCCUUAAAGGAGAAAACAUAUAUCAAAGCCCAUGGAAAAGUAGUGUAACUAAGGCUAGCAUAAGGAAGCAACUACUUUUUACAUGCAAACCAAUAUUAUCAAUGAUUUGCUUUUUUUAAGGGUAAAACAGGUUAAUUACUGAGUCUGAACUUUUAAAUUCCCCAGCACACACACACACACACACACCCUGCACACAAUUCCUAUUCUAUGAAAAACAGUCAUAGUUGGUUCUUAUUUAUAUUCCCCAUGAUUAUAUUUAAUGAAAUAAACUAUUAGUUUUUUACCCUAUGUUCACAAAAUAUCCCAAAAAUCUGUUACGUAUAAAAGCUCAGAGGCCCUGUUGGCAAAUGCUAUUUGGAGCAGGCAGCUGAGUGUUCCGGGAUGAGGCCUUUCCCGCCCCAAGCCGGGGUCUGGGGGCCUCCUGUGCUCCAGGCCCCUGCUGCGGGGACCUGAGCAGCAGGCCCAGUGGUGCUGACACCUUCUCCCCUGUCCAGCCCUGCAGGACGAGACUCCAGCUGAGGUACAGAAAACGGUGUACUCCCACAGAACGCCCUGCGUUCUUUACUGCCCAAGGACACUCAUGCCAGCUUUGGCCUUCUAACUUGGUAGCAUAGGCGCCAUCCACCUUUUCCUGGGAGAAGUACAGACAUUUUUAGUUACAUUUAAACUGUGAUGAUAAAAAUAGGAAAAGUAUUCUUUCCAUCUGAAAACCAAGCAGCCUGGGUCUGUUUAGAACCUGACUGUUGUGCAGAGAAUUUGGGCUUCUGGGGCCCAGAAGGUGCUUUGAUCCUCCAGAGACUGCCUUUAAUUCUGCCUGUUGGGUAAGAUGAACCCUAUCACCUCUUUAAAAUUCACCUGCGUGGCCAAGUAGGAUUUUCACUUCAAGUCGCAGUAAGUUUGGUUUCUUCUUGUAGUGAGUGCUGAUGUAAGACAUUGGUUUUUGAACAAAGAAAUGGAAAUUUUUUUUUUGGCAGGCCGCCAGGUCUACUGCCAGGUAGCAGAAGAGAAGUCGGAAUAGUGCUGAGCUACCCGUGCCCGGAGUGGUGGCCUGAGCCUGGAGAAGUGAGGCCAAGGCCCUCAGGCCUGGAUCUUCCCUGGUUCUACAGUUUCUUUGAUGUAAGGACGCCCUGCUGCAGUGAUGAUAGCUCGGAAUUCACGGGCCUGUGACCAUGGACAGUUUGGAAGGUCCCUCUUGACGCUAGGACCCAUCAAGGAAGUUAUUCUCUGAAGUGAGCUUUCCUUAGCACCUUUUUAGUUACCACAUUUUAAGAUGUUUCUCACAUAAAAUGAAUAUAUUUUGAAAGCCCAGUGCCUUGACUUACUAGGUGUUGCUCUGUAAUAGUUGUGUUUGCUUUUAGCAGCUUCCACUUCAUGUUCCAUAGAAGCCAGUUGCUGUUUGGUUUUGGCAGAGGUGAAUACCUCACCACGAACUUUCAGAUCCAGCUGGUUCUUCCAGCUACUCACCUUGAGUAUUUUUACAUUUUAAACAAAACUUAAUGGAUGUAAUGUCAUCAUUGUGAAUUGUAUCAUUAGUAAAAUAUUAACAAGGGUAUUUUAGAAAUUAAA